CGAACGCUGGCGGCGUGCUUAAACACAUGCAAAGUCGAACGGUAAAGGGCCCCUUCGGGGGUACACGAGUGGGCGAAACGGGGGUGAGUAAACACGUGGGGUGAUCUGCCCCUGCACUCUGGGAUAAGCCCUGGGAAACUGGGUCUAAUACCGGAUAUGAGCUCCUGUCGCAUGGCGGGGGUUGGAAAGGUUUACUGGUGCAGGAUGGGCCCGCGGCCUAUCAGCUUGUUGGUGGGGUAAUGGCCUACCAAGGCGACGACGGGUAGCCGGCCUGAGAGGGCGACCGGCCACACUGGGACUGAGACACGGCCCAGACUCCUACGGGAGGCAGCAGUGGGGAAUAUUGCACAAUGGGCGAAAGCCUGAUGCAGCGACGCCGCGUGAGGGAUGACGGCCUUCGGGUUGUAAACCUCUUUCAGCAGGGACGAAGCGAGAGUGACGGUACCUGCAGAAGAAGCACCGGCCAACUACGUGC
rnacentral:rRNA from 1 species